AGAGAGAGAGAGAGAGAAAGAAAAUAAGAAAAAAGGAAAGGAAAGAAAGAGCGUAAAAUCAACGAGAAAAAGUCGCAGUUUCUACUACCAAGUCGAAGGAAGGACAUUUGAAUAUGAUGGAUAUCAGGAUAAUGUUGAUAUUUUUGUUUCUGUUUUGUCUUGUGCCAAGAUCGACCGUCGGUAAAAGUCGUAUGAUCAAUUCAGAUCUUUUCUACUUUCCCGACCAAGCGGAUUAUAUAAGACGAGCCGACAAAUGUCCGGAUAACAUGAUUUUGUGGCUAGGAAAUGGUCAAUGUUACAAAGAAGGUGAAAGAGGACCCUGCAAUGUCGGCCGUGUUUUAGUAAUCGACAAACAAUAUUUGAAACCCUACUGCAAGGAUAUUCUAUAAUGAUUUCUCCAUUGCUGCGAAAGAUGGCAGCACUCAUGAAAAUCUACAGUUAGAUCGUAUGUAGGAAAAUUGUUUUAACAGAAUCGACGUAGAGAUGACAGCACUGUUCGUAUGAAAAACAUUUUCCCGGCGGGAAACUUUGAAUAAAGAGCUUCUCUACGAAUUCGCAGAGUGGCAGCUCCAAUAUAAAUUUUCCUUACACUUCGUGGGACGUACUCGUGAUCACGCCAUCAUAUCUUCUAUUUAUCUUUUAAAAUGAAUACGCGAUAAAUUGUUCCACGUGCGAUAAAGGAAAUUUUUAUUAUUAAAAUUUUCUUUUCCUUUUUUCUUUUAUUUCUUUCUUUUUUUUUUUUUUUUAAUUAAAAAAAAAUUUUGUCAUAAUUACUAAUGGACUGUCGAGAGCUUUAAUUUGUUACUCUUCCAAUUUGAUCUACUUAAAGCUCACAAUAAUAUACAAAAGGUAUAAUAUUGAAUAUCGCCAACUCGCAUAACAAGUUAGAUGAAUAAUAAAGUUUCAGUAUCAGUUGUCUCAUUAUGAAAACUUAUGCAUCUCUAUCGUUUUUUGUAUCGUAAUAUACGACAUUUUAAUUACAGAAGUUGCAAAGCAGCUAUAAACGAAGCAGAGCGUUUGUGCCAAGUUCUGUGAAUUAAACCGUACUAAUUUCAUGUAAUUUCAUUCCAGCACGUCACGUCGCGAAAUAAAAUGUCACUUUGUCUUUUCCCUUUCGUAAAAAUGUACGCGUGCUCGGCCACGUUUCCGUAUUAUUUCACGCACGUGGCUGUAUUUAAUCGUUUUUAUUUGCGAAUGAAACUGAAGAAAAAGAAAUAAACUGAGAUCAAAGUGUUCAUUUUAUCUCACAUUCUACAUACAUAUAUACAUAUAUAUAUAUAUACAUAUUACGAAAAAAAUAUAUCGCGAUACAUAUAUUAAAAAAAGGAUAUCAAAGGGUAUAUAUAUAUAUAUAUGUAUAUUAUAUAUAUUAAAAAAGAAAAAUAUUAAAAAAAAUUAAUAAGAAUACACGAAGAUAUAUAGGAUAUUAAUGAUGGACGUCUCUCCGAUCUUACUUGCGAUCGUAAUUUGCAGAUUGUAAAAAUGUAAUCAAGAAGACGAAAGGUAGCACGUUUAAUUACUACGCUCCGAUAUGACGUUGGCGAGAAGAAGGGUGAGUCAGAUGAGAAGGAGUGGACGGGGGUGUUCUUUCGUUCGUUCGUUCGUUCGUUCGUUGGUUCUUUCGUAACAAGCCACCCCAUCGGAAAGAAAGAAAGAAAAAAAAAGAAAAAAAAAAAGGAA